rnacentral:ncRNA from 2 species
AACUAUCAUGGCGAUGGGGUUCGCCAUAAACACUGCCCCUGGCGGUUGAUAACCCCUACCAAAUU